rnacentral:lncRNA from 1 species
UUCGCACAAGUGAACUACAUCACUCUAAAAACUGAACCACAUUCGAGGACCAAAUGCACUGCAGGUGUUGAUGUAGUCGACUAAAUUUUGAUACACACGAAACAAAUUGCACUUCAUACAGAGAGGUAAUGAAACAUCAUUCUUUUUACACAAACAAUACACACGAGACACCAAAUUCAGCAUACGAGACACUUGUUUUCUUCGUCACAGGAUGAGCUAAUGCAUUGCAAGCCCACGUUUUUGAACCGCACGAGGUGCCCUAAACUGUAGUGCACUGAACAUACAAAGAAGACACAAAAUCGUCACAAAAAUAGAUGGUGCUUCCCAGGAAAGAACAUGCCAACGCACUGCAAAAACAUGCCAAUGCACUGCAUGGAAAAAUAGAUGGUGCUUCACUGGAAAGGACAUGCCAACGCAUUGCAAAAACAUGGCAAUGCACUGCAUGGAAUGUGACUGACGAACCGCUAGCUCAAGCAAGUAAAAUGCAAUAUGACUCAAAAAAUCACCAUGGCACGGAUCCCGCACGGGGUGAUGUACUGCACGCGGUUGCAGUCCUUUUCUUCCUGCAAAAAAUAGCAAAAAAAUGAACCGCACCCAAUUUGUGAAUCAACUGCAGCAAACAAAGAAAUUGCACUGAAUUGACAAAGGAAAACGACCCUACAUCACCUCCUCUACUCCUCUCACUGCUCAUGGCCGUCAGCGCUAGAUCUGAUGGUGCACUAACGCUGCAGCUGCUCUGGUGUAGACAAAUCAAGGGGGAGAGAGAGCAUUAAGGGGGCUGUGAGGGAAAGACGCUCGGAGCUCAUCGGUGGCCACAUCACUCUGACCCGCGGGGUGACGUUGUUGACCGUGGCGUGCCAUGGGCGGGGGAGGUGCUGGUGGAUCCGGGGAUGAGGGAGGUGGCACGGGAUGGGGCUACAGUCCGUGCCCGCGCCGGGCACCAAGGUGUAGAGGGGCCGGCAUCUGCGGUCGGAUCCGACGAAGGCGACACGCAUCCGGUUGGCGAAGACGAAGGAUGAAUCACGCUGCCAGAUGCCGGCGGUGAGCUCCUUUCGGGGCACGAUGGAUCUGGCCCUCUCCGCCACCGACCACCUGCGCCGCGCAGCACGGCCCCUUAUCGCUGCCGGUUGCCGCUAUUCCCCCACAGCCUUGGACGUGUUGGUGGCCGAGGUUGACCACCAUCCGAGGGAGGAGGUUGGGGGAAGGGAGUGGAGCCCGAGAUCCGGCGGAUCUGCAUACAAUAGCGGUGGUGUGCGAUUCGCGUCGCCGGGGAUCACCGGAUCCGAAGGUGGGUUCCAUUGGCAGUGGAGCGUGGCGUACUGGGCAUGGGCAAGGCAGUGGCCUGCCGGGUCAGAAGAAAGUAGAGGGAAUCCCCGGAGAUUUGGCUACCGGCCGAGGCAGUGGCGGAAGAAGGUGGAGGGGAUUACCAUGGAUGGUGCGGGGGUGGGAGGUGCGGGUGUGUUCGGGAUGUGGGAGAUGCAAGGGAAGAUGUGCGGGUCGUGGCCGCGCAGGGGGGUGGUUGCUGACCCAGAUCCAUUGCCGGGAGGCAUGUCGGUGGCGGUUGCCGGAUCGGACCCGUCCCCGGGACUCCAUGUGGCUGGGGAUGCCUUGGGCCUCGCCGGAUCUAGGCGCCAGCGAGGUGGAGCUCGGCGGGGCGGGCCGCACUGGCGGAAGGAGGCUGGGCUGGUCCGGCUUGCGGGUUGCAGUGGUGGGGUGGCGGAGGAAGGUGGAUGGGGAGAGGUAUGGCGGUGCGGCAGCUCGGGUGGGAUGGAACGUGCCGGAGAAGGUGGGGAGUUUGGG